rnacentral:lncRNA from 1 species
CUUCGAGGAUCUGUGUUAAAGUUUGGUGUCCAAAGAGUUUUCCUGGAGGUGAAGUCUUGGGCCACUGUUUGUGGAAUUUGAACAAGUUUCCUGGGAGAUUGUUUACCUACCAGCAUCUAGAAUGGAACCCAAGUCCAGAGCCAUUUUCAAAUGUCAUCCCUUUCUAGUUAUGGCAAAUAAGAAACCAAGAAACACAACAGGAUUUUGAACUGAAUCAAAGAGUUUUACAAGACUCAAGAUGUUGGCUGGUAGAAAUCCAAGUCAAAAAUGGCGAGUCACAAUAUCUGUCCUCUAGGCAAGAAAAAAAAAGAAGAUAAGGGAAAGACAAAGGAAGGAAAUGGAAGGAAAGGACAAAGAAGGAAAGUCUACUCUGAAUCUUGACAUGUCAGCUUGAUUCUAGAAGUGCGUUUACCUGGAGGACUUACCCACAACUUUAACCUUGAGCUUCGUUUUUCAGAUUGAUGUGGUAAACACCAGAGUCAUCUCUUUCAGCUAUAUCAAUGACCAGAGUGCUGCUAUCAGGAAAAACUAGGUGAAUGCAGAAAAUUGCAUCCAGCUGAAAUGACCCAGCAAGGAAUGCACAAAAUCUGCAGACUCACACCUCAAACAUCUAUCAGCUACCUCAGUUCAUCCAUGUGAUAUAAGCCACACCCAUUUACAUCUGAGGUCACAACUACUCAUCAGAUUUUGAAUAAUCCUCUUUCUACUGCUUCACAACAGUUCACAAGCCACAACACUUCCAGCAUUAAUUCGUCUUCAACAAACCAGAAGACUCAUUAGGAUCCAUAAUAGCUGCCAGUGUAGAGGAGCCUCAGUUACUUUCACUUUGAUCAUUAUCCCUGGGAGAAGAAGCCAACAGCUCCUGGUGACCACAAUAAGAGAUUUCAUUUUUACCUCUUACGAAGAGCUCAGUGGAACAUUUCUCAUCACCGGCUGUCACAUAAUACUCUGAAUCAUCUGUCAUCUGACAGUUAUUGAUAAACAGGAUUCUCUGGCAUCCUUUGUGUUCAAAGAUGUAUCUGUUUUGAAUAGGAUGAA